rnacentral:rRNA from 1 species
CCCUGUUCAGUGAUUUCGGUCGCUGUCUAAGGACUAGCAGUGGGGAUCUUAGCAACUUCGGUUGCAUUUCUUGUGAUGACUCUGAAUAACUGAGCAAAUCGUAUGGCCUCUGAGCCGACGAUGUAUCCCUCAAGCAACUGCCUUAUCAACUGUCGAUGGUAGGUUAUGCGCCUACCAUGGUUGUAACGGGUAACGGGGAAUUAGGGUUCGAUUCCGGAGAGGGAGCCUGAGAAACGGCUACCACAUCUAAGGAAGGCAGCAGGCGCGCAAAUUACACAAUCCCAGUACGGGGAUGUAGUGACGAAAAAUAACAAUACGGGACUCUAUUGAGGCCCCGUAAUUGGAAUGAGUACAAUUUAAAUCCUUUAACGAGGAUCUAUUGGAGGGCAAGUCUGGUGCCAGCAGCCGCGGUAAUUCCAGCUCCAAUAGCGUAUAUUAAAGUUGCUGCGGUUAAAAAGCUCGUAGUUGGAUUUCAGUCGAACCUAUGGGGUCCACUGAUUAAAGGGUUAGAUGGUGAUGUUAGGUUUCUUGCUUGUGUCUACGGAUGCUAGCUUGAACCUUCAUUCCUCUUUCCUGGUGGUUACAUUCAUAGUGUUUAGACAGAAAAUUGCUCGAUAUUUGCUAUCAAUGCUCUUUACCGAGUGUUGAUUCAGCGAUCGAGACUUUUACCUUGAAAAAAUCAGAGUGCUCAAAGCAGGCGUCCAAAACCUCGAAAGAGGUGCCUAAAAACGGUAUGGUCAACCAUCUAUAUGAUGCGUACCACUACCUUAACUUGAAUGAUCUUGCAUGGAAUAAUGGAAUAGGACCUUGGUUCUAUUUUGUUGGUCUUAAGAAUCCAAGGUAAUGAUUAAGAGGGACAGACGGGGGCAUUUGUAUUGCGGCGCUAGAGGUGAAAUUCUUGGACCGUCGCAAGACAAACUACAGCGAAAGCAUUUGCCAAGAAUGUUUUCAUUAAUCAAGAACGAAAGUUAGAGGUUCGAAGGCGAUCAGAUACCGCCCUAGUUCUAACCAUAAACGAUGCCAACCAGCGAUCAUUCUGAGUAACUAAUUUCAUGACUCGAAUGGAAGCUUCCGGGAAACCAAAGUUUUUGGGUUCCGGGGGAAGUAUGGUUGCAAAGCUGAAACUUAAAGGAAUUGACGGAAGGGCACCACCAGGAGUGGAGCUUGCGGCUUAAUUUGACUCAACACGGGAAAACUCACCCGGCCCGGACACUGAGAGGAUUGACAGAUUGAGAGCUCUUUCUUGAUUCAGUGGGUGGUGGUGCAUGGCCGUUCUUAGUUGGUGGAGUGAUUUGUCUGGUUAAUUCCGAUAACGAACGAGACUCUAGCCUACUAAAUAGACUUGCAGUUUACACUGCAGUACUCCCCCUUAGUCAACCUGUGGGUGGUAGUAUCUCUUGAUGGUUUCGGCUGUUGAGGGCUCUGCUGCUAUUAGCCUACAGAAUUGGCUAGGGUAAGGAUGCUGUAGCACUGUAAGGACUUCUUAGAGGGACAAGCGGCGCUCGCAGCCGCACGAAACAGAGCAAUAACAGGUCUGUGAUGCCCUUAGAUGUCCGGGGCCGCACGCGUGCUACACUGAAGUGGUCAUCGUGCAUACUGUUUCUGCUCCGAAAGGAGUGGGUAACCGCUUGAACCCAUUUCGUGAUGGGGAUUGGGCAUUGUAAUUAUUGCCCAUGAACGAGGAAUUCCCAGUAAGCGUGAGUCAUUAGCUUGCGUUGAUUACGUCCCUGCCCUUUGUACACACCGCCCGUCGCUACUACCGAUUGAAUGAUUUAGUGAGGACUUCGGACUGGUCAAUCCAGACCAUUGGGAAACUAGUGGUCGGAUUGUGCUGGAAAGAUGUUCAAACUUGAUCAUUUAGAGGAAGUAAAAGUCGUAACAAGGUUUCCGUAGGUGAACUGCGGAAG